rnacentral:rRNA from 1 species
GUCCUAGCCGUAACGAUGGGCACUAAGUAGAGGGUUUGAUUAUCUCUCUGCCGGAGCUAACGCAUUAAGUGCCCCGCCUGGGAAGUACGGCCGCAAGGCUAAACUCAAAGAAUUGACGGGGCUCGCACAAGCGGUGGAGCAUGUGGCUUAAUUCGAUGCAACGCGAAGAACCUUACCGGGGUUUGACAUGGUAGAAGUAGGAACCAGAAGGGUAACGAACGGUAUCCAGUCCGUAACUAUCACAGGUGUUGCAUGGCUGUCGU